CUCCACCUGCCUCUGCCUCCUGCGUUCUGGGAUUAGAGGCCCUCACUGUCCAGCCACUACUUUUUUUUUAAUAGCAUAAAUAACUGGUUUGUUUGUUUUGUUGGAAGCGCAGGGAUUGAACCUAAAGUUUUAAACUUGCUGAGCAAAUGCCAAACCACUGAAGCUCUCUGGAAUCUUAAUCCAUCUUUCUGGGUACCCUCCCUAGUGAGUGCUAAAGGUGGAAGCCAGAGCCGGAUGCUCAUACUGUGUGCUGAGCUCCACCCUCCACCAAGCAUUUCCACCUUUAAAAAGACAUCUCCUCGAGUCAGAGGUAGGAGGAUGUGAGUUCAAGACAUUUGUCUUGACAAUUUAAUGAGAGUGUGUCUCAAAGUCAAAAAUAAUAACAAAGAAGCCCAUGGUAGGUAAGGUAGGGACAGGAUGGGGCAUGACCAGAUGUCCACCCAGUCCAUCCACAGCCACCUUUGCAUUUAGAGCAGGGUGGUGUCCUUCCCGCAUCUGCUUAGAGUGUCCUUCCCGUAUCUGCUUUGUUGGUUAACUUAGCCAAACUUCAUCCAAUUUCCAAAGAGUCUAUCAGGCCUAACUUCUCUGUGAACUUUCCCCAGACCACUGUCCCUCAACUGACCCAACCUUCACACUAUACACAAAGAAAUUAAACAGCAAACUAGGGGCUCUGUUGGAAGAAGACUCUCAGGGGGUUAACUCUGAGAUACACAUUCAAUGCUGUUCAAAGGUUCUCUGGGAGGCGGAGCUCCUGCUGGGGGCGGACUGCAUGCAAAGCUUUCACUGGUUGCCUUUAUGAACUCAGGACUCAGGAGGUCUCCUCCACAGAUGCUGACCAGGACAGUGAGACAGUCAAGUAUAUCUGCAUGCGCACAGUCCCUCACACUUCCUCUGCUGGCUGUUCUUGGUUGUCAACUUGACUACAUCUGGAAUGAAUUCCAAUCCAGACAUGGAGGGCACACCUGUGAGAAAUUUUCUGCUUGGUUGGAAGUGGGUGAAUCUACUUCUAGUCUGGACCUUUGAGGUAAGAGGACACACGCUUUUGAUUGGGAUCUUGAGAUGGGAAGACAGGUGUCUUUGACGUCUGGUCUUGGGGGGGAAAGAUGCCCCUGGAAUCUGGACCAUACCUGCUGAACGUCUACGGAGGGACAUGGAAGGGAGGAAGGUUCUGCUUUUUUGCCUGCUUGCCCUCAUCUUGCUAGGAAGUCCAUUCCUUCUCUUGUAUUGUAGCUUACUUCUUCCGAAUCCCAGAGUCUAUUGAAGACCAGCUGAGAUAUCCAGCCUUGUGGGCUGAGCAACAUCUGGAUUCUUGGGAGUUCCUAUACAUAGCCCACCAUUGCUGGAUUAGUUGCAUCACAGCCUGUAAGUGAUUCUGAGAAAUACCGUGUAUGUGUGUGUGUGUGUGUGUGUGUGUGUGUGUGUGUGUGUGUGUGUGUGUGUGUGUGUGUAUGUACAUUGUUAUUCAGUCUGUAAGUCCUGCUACUUUGAGAGCUCUGACUGAUACACUUCCUUACACAUUUGCUGCUUAUGAUACGAGUGCAUUUUUAUUGUACUUUUCAGAAGUAGAACUUCUUUGGGAAGCAACUGCAUGCCACGACUGACAUGCAUAGACUAUAUGUCA
rnacentral:sRNA from 1 species